rnacentral:SRP_RNA from 1 species
UCCUAGGUGGAGCGGGGGCGUCGUGGACCAGCGAGGGUGGCGCGCUGCGUUGACGCGGUGCUCUGCUUGGCUGUGUGUCGGUGUGGCCUGCCCCCCUGUAGAGGGGUGUUUGUGGGCCACCCGUUAAAGCGAGGGAAACC